rnacentral:rRNA from 1 species
AGCGAACGUUAGCGGCGGGCUUAACACAUGCAAGUCGAGCGAGAACAGGGCUUCGGCCCCUAGUAAAGCGGCGGACGGGUGCGUAACACGUGGGUAAUCUGCCUUUUGGUUCGGGACAACUGUCCGAAAGGAUAGCUAAUACCGGAUAAGUCAGCGGGGGUAUACCUCGUUGGGAAAGAUGGCCUCUCCAUGGAAGCUAUCACCGAAAGAUGAGCCCGCGUCCCAUCAGCUAGUUGGCGAGGUAAUGGGCUCACCAAGGCAUAGACGGGUAGCUGGUCUGAGAGGAUGAUCAGCCACACUGGAACUGAGACACGGUCCAGACUCCUACGGGAGGCAGCAGUGGGGAAUAUUGGGCAAUGGGGGAAACCCUGACCCAGCCAUGCCGCGUGAGUGAUGAAGGCCUUC